CGGUACAUUCCUAGCUUGCUAGGAGAUGACGAGCGGCGGACGGGUGAGUAAUGCUUGGGAAUAUGCCUUAUGGUGGGGGACAACAGUUGGAAACGACUGCUAAUACCGCAUAACGUCUACGGACCAAAGGAGGGGAUCUUCGGACCUUUCGCCAUUUGAUUAGCCCAAGUGAGAUUAGCUAGUUGGUGAGGUAAUGGCUCACCAAGGCGACGAUCUCUAGCUGGUUUGAGAGGAUGAUCAGCCACACUGGGACUGAGACACGGCCCAGACUCCUACGGGAGGCAGCAGUGGGGAAUAUUGCACAAUGGGCGAAAGCCUGAUGCAGCCAUGCCGCGUGUGUGAAGAAGGCCUUCGGGUUGUAAAGCACUUUCAGUUGUGAGGAAAGGGAUGUAGUUAAUAACUGCAUUCUGUGACGUUAACAACAGAAGAAGCACCGGCUAACUUCGUGCCAGCAGCCGCGGUAAUACGAGGGGUGCAAGCGUUAAUCGGAAUUACUGGGCGUAAAGCGUUCGUAGGCGGUUAUUUAAGCAAGAUGUGAAAGCCCAGGGCUCAACCUUGGAACUGCAUUUUGAACUGGGUAACUAGAGUACUGUAGAGGG
rnacentral:rRNA from 1 species